rnacentral:lncRNA from 1 species
GUUACCUAGCUAAGUAAGAGUUUUAAUUAUGGGAGUAUAACCUAAAAGUGAUAGAACUUUUUCAUGCUUUGCCAAAAUAUAGUAUAUAUUGUGAUAUGUUCAAAAAUGUGAUAAAAUAGAUAUAUCACCAAGCUGGUUGUGAAAAAUGGGACAUUUUGUAUGGAUUAUACAAAGAAAAAGCAUCAUUAAAUGAAUAGAAGGCAGUGGCGGAUCCAGAAAUUUUCAUAAGUGGGGGCACACUGACUGACCUAAGAGGGGGCCCGCUCC